GCUGCGGAAGGAGGGAGGUGCCUAGAGAGCUUCUGGAUGGGGGCUAGCCACCAGAAAGAUCCAGCCAGGAUUAAAAGGUGAAGAUUUUAACUGUCAAUCAAAAGGGAGAUACGGAAGAAGUAUAGAGCAGAUAACACUGUGAAAGAAUUGACGCAAACAAGCCCAGUGUGGCGGCUCAUGUCUGUAAUAUGUUCUUCUGAAACAAAUUCUGUCAACUCCAUCACAAAUGAGUCUGUGGAAGAACCAAUGCUGAAAGCAUCUCAGUAAACAAAUAUGGCCCAAUAAACUCAAGUUUCUAAUGGGCAGGCAUAUAGGGGAUGGCGAGAAGGCACAUAAUAGAGCUCAAACAAAAGCAAAAAGCAAAUGACAGAAGUCUAUAGGAAUAAGCAUAGAAAAUGAAAGCUCAGCAUAUGCAGAAGUUUGUAAACAAUGCAAAGGAAAACUAACGAGAAAAUUAUAGGGAUGUUGAGAGGCUGAAGAGGCAAGAAGCAAUAGGCCCACUGGGUGAAGUUAAGCUGUAAGAGAGAGAAAAUAGGUCUAGUCCAAUCCUAUUUUUAGCUUUAGCAAAGAGAAUAGGCAAAAAAUUAAAAAGGAUGACAUAUCCAUGGCUAAGAAGAAAGUGAAAUCCAGGAUGAAGUCUCUAGUCCUGUCAAAGCAACCCUCUGAGUUGCAGUAUCAUUACCAGUAAUCUCAGAAGAAUCACUGAGAAAGAAAAUUGGAAGUAGGAAAAAAAAAAAAAAACA
rnacentral:lncRNA from 1 species